rnacentral:rRNA from 1 species
GACGAACGCUGGCGGCAGGCCUAACACAUGCAAGUCGAGCGGAGUGGCGGCCGGGUGAUUAAUUCCUAGGAAUCUGCCUGGUAUUGGGGGUUAACUUCCGGACAUGGGCGCUAAUACCGCAUACUAUCAGAUGAGCCUAGGUCGGAUUAGGUAGUUUGUGGGGUAAAGGCCUACCAAGGCGACGAUCCGUAACUGGUCUGAGAGGAUGAUCAGUCACACUGGAACUGAGAGACGGUCCAGGCUCCUACGGGAGGCAGCAGUGGGGAAUAUGGGAAAAUGGGCGAAAGCCUGAGCCAGCCAUGCCGGGUGUGUGAAGAAGGUCUUCGGAUUGUAAAGCACUUUAAGUUGGGAGGCGUGACCAACAGAAUAAGCACCGGCUAACUUCGUGCCAGCCGCCGCGGUAAUAC